AAAUUAUGACAUUUCAACAAAAACAACAAAACGCAUCUCUUUUGGUUCGAUGUUUAUCACCCAGAAAAAAGUUUUCUCGUAAUUUUUCAAAUGUUUUCGGAAGUGAAAUCGUGAAAAUUGUGCAAAAUAUCGGUUCAACCGCGAGUGCGAAAAAUGAACAUCUGUCGGGUGUGCAUGGAGAGCGGCGAGGAAUCCGGGAGCGGUGGUGCGGUUCCGGAUUUGAUUCCCAUCUUCUCCAAGCUGGAGGAUGCGUUUAUCGCCAACAUUUUGGUCGAGUGCACUUCGGUACAGAUUCUGGAGGAUGACGGCCUUCCGACGACGAUCUGCCAGGGAUGCGUCGACAGUUUGAAAAGCUUCAUCCGGUUUAUCCGGAAGGCGAGGGAAUCGGACCGGAAGCUGCGCAAGAUGUUCAAAUCGGAAGGGGCCGGGAAAAGGACGGUCGAAGAGGCGGAAGCUGACGAGGAGGAUGAUAAGAAUUGGACCUCGGCCAUGGAGCUGUCGUCGGUUUUCACCGAGAGCAUAAUGGAAGUGAAGGAGGAGCUGGAGUCGGAUGAUGGGAAAGAUGCUCCGGGGGAAGCUGCGUACGAAGUGGAAUAUCUGGAUGAUGUAAAUGCUUCGGAUGAGGAAGUUGAGGACAGGAAACCCGUGAAGAGAAGAGGACGCAGGAAAAAGUAUAAAGAUUCGGACGACAGUGACUCGGAUUUUGUGGCUGAGCCUCCGAAACCCAGACGAGGAAGGAAACCUGGACGGAAGCCUUCCCGGAAAGUGGAUGACGAUGAUGAAGACUACGGAAGUGACGAUGCGUUGGACGAGAAGGAAUUGGAGACUUUCGAGGUCAUUGAGAUCCAGAAAGGUCAACUGGUGUGCUGUUCAUGUCUACUGAUCUUCGAUAGUUCUGAGGAGCUGGAGGUUCACCGAGAAAAGCAUAUCAAGAAGCGGAGAGUCAACAUGACCAAGACGAAUAUUUGCCAGAUUUGCUAUCGGAGAUAUUCGACGCCAUAUGCCUUGAAACUGCACUAUCGACGGAUGAAGGAAGCAACGAAGAUCUACGGUUGCAUCAAGUGUCCUGCAAGGUUUAUAGAUCAGAAACGUCGUCGACAGCAUGCCCAUAAUCACCCUCGAGAGAAGGAGAUUGUACCCUCCAAGGUAAUCGUGGCGCCAAUUCCUGAGGUUAUCCAUAACGAAUACGGCCGGAUUUGUUGCGCCCAAGCAUGCUAUCAAUCGUUCGAAACGGAAGAACUGCUGCUUGCACACGCCCAUACAGCCCACAAGGUUAACAAAGUGGAGCAAUCGCUGGACGAAAACAAGGACAAACCCAUCGAAUGUCUGGUGUGCUUCAAGCGGUUCUACGACGAAGUGUCGCUUCAGCGCCACCAGCAACGGAACUAUAAGCCUCUGAGCCAUCAGUGUGCCGUGUGUGGACUGAAGGUGAGAGGAGGAGAAGCAUUGGCCACACAUGAACGAUCCCAUCGCAACGAGAAGCCGUUCGAGUGCGAGAUCUGCCAUAAGAACUUCACCAGCAAGGGCAGCCUCAAAGCGCACAUGAUGGUGCACAGUGGGGAGAAACCGUUCGUUUGUACGACCUGUGGGUGGAGCUUUCGCCGCAAGCGAAACCUUCAGGUGCACAUCCUGUCGCAUUCGAACAACCAGCCGUUCCAGUGUGAGAUUUGUCAGAAGACGUUCAAAUCGAAGGUUCACCUGCAGUAUCAUAUGCGGACGCACACGGGAGAGAAGCCGUACCCCUGUCGUUUUUGUGACAAAGCAUUUGCUGACCACACAAAUAGGCAACGACACGAAAUGUCUCAUACGGGCAUCAAACCGUACAAAUGCACCUAUUGUGAUAAAACGUUUAUUCGCAAACGAUUUCAAGUCGACCAUGAAAGUAGUCAUACGGGAAUUAAACCAUACCGGUGUGACAUGUGCAAUCGCACUUUCAGUCACAAGUCCGGUUUGCGUCGCCAUUUGGAAGCCCACCCGCUGGCACCGGGAAAUGCAAUAGCCCUGGCUGCCCCUUCGCCGAUGCCAGCUCCGUCGUUGUCACACUCGGAGGUCGGUGCCGUGGAAUCAUCAAUGUCGCCGCCACCACCACCACCACCCUCAGCAAUGUCCCAGAUGGGUUCCAUGGGUGAUCUAGGACCUAGCAGUAGUGGCUACUUCCAGCAUCCGUAAAGCGAUAGGUAUUAAACCGUACAAGUGCAGCUUCUGUGAUAAAUCUUUCAUUCGUAAACGCUUUCAGAUGGACCACGAAAGCUGUCAUACAGGUGUAAAACCGUACAGUUGCGACCUGUGCAAACGCAGUUUCAGCCAUCAGUCCGGAUUACGUCGGCAUCGGCUAGAAACGCACAGUUCAGAGACGGAGAAUGUGAGUAAUCUAGCGGGUCCUUCCAAUCCGACGCAAUGAUGGCUGCUUUCAAACGUAGAUGAUUUACCAGUGGCUGUACUGACCAACAGCAGUCUGAGCGAGCAUCCGAAGCCAGAAAGCAGCAGCGAUUGGUAGAUAGUAAGUAUGUUUUAAUAAAGUAGAGCGUUGGGCUUAGCGUAUGUGAUUCAUAGAAGUUUCCUAGUGUAUUUUAAAAUAGGUGCCAAGAAACUUCUUAAAAAUUGCUAUUGCUAUGAGGAA